rnacentral:siRNA from 1 species
AGCUUGGAUUUGGUUGUUGC